AUUGAACGCUGGCGGCAUGCUUUACACAUGCAAGUCGAACGGCAGCACGGACUUCGGUCGGGUGGCGAGUGGCGAACGGGUGAGUAAUACAUCGGAACGUACCGCGUAGUGGGUGACAACAAGUCGAAAGUUUUGCUAAUACCGCAUAAACUCUGUGGAGAAAAGCAGGGGACCUUCGGGCCUUGUGCUAUGCACGCGGCCGAUGGCUGAUUAGCUAGUUGGUGGGGUGAAGGCCUACCAAGGCAACGAUCAGUAGCGGGUGUUAGAGGACGAUCCGCCACACUGGAACUGAGACACGGUCCAGACUCCUACGGGAGGCAGCAGUGGGGAAUCUUGGACAAUGGGCGCAAGCCUGAUCCAGCGAUGCCGCGUGCGUGAAGAAGGCCUUCGGGUUGUAAAGCGCUUUUGUCAGGGAGCAAAGACUGAUGGCUAAUAUCCAUCGGAGUUGAGAGUACCUGAAGAAUAAGGACCGGCUAACUACGUGCCAGCCGCCGCGGUAACAC
rnacentral:rRNA from 1 species